AGAUUGAACGCUGGCGGCAGGCCUAACACAUGCAAGUCGAGCGGUAGAGAGGUGCUUGCACCUCUUGAGAGCGGCGGACGGGUGAGUAAUGCCUAGGAAUCUGCCUAGGUGGUGGGGGAUAACGUUCGGAAACGGACGCUAAUACCGCAUACGUCCUACGGGAGAAAGCGGGGACCUUCGGGCCUCGCGCCAUUAGAUGAGCCUAGGUCGAUUAGCUAGUUGGUGAGGUAUGCUCACCAAGCGACGAUCGUAACUGGUCUGAGAGGAUGGAUCAGUCACACUGGAACUGAGACGACGGUCAGACUCCUACGGGAGCGAGCGAGUGGGAACGUAUUAGGACAAGUAGGGCGAAACGGCUAGACGUCCAA
rnacentral:rRNA from 1 species